GUGAGGAAUAUUGGUCAAUGGGCGGGAGCCUGAACCAGCCAAGUCGCGUGAAGGAAGAAGGAUCUAUGGUUCGUAAACUUCUUUUGCAGGGGAAUAAAGUGCAGGACGUGUCCUGUUUUGUAUGUACCCUGAGAAUAAGGAUCGGCUAACUCCGUGCCAGCAGCCGCGGUAAUACGGAGGAUCCGAGCGUUAUCCGGAUUUAUUGGGUUUAAAGGGUGCGUAGGUGGUUUGAUAAGUCAGCGGUGAAAGUUUGCAGCUUAACUGUAAAAAUGCCGUUGAAACUGUCGGACUUGAGUGUAAAUGAGGUAGGCGGAAUGCGUGGUGUAGCGGUGAAAUGCAUAGAUAUCACGCAGAACUCCGAUUGCGAAGGCAGCUUACUAAGCUACAACUGACACUGAAGCACGAAAGCGUGGGGAUCAAACAGGAUUAGAUAACCUAGUAGUCC
rnacentral:rRNA from 1 species